rnacentral:rRNA from 1 species
CCUACGGGAGGCAGCAGUGAGGAAUAUUGGUCAAUGGGCGUAAGCCUGAACCAGCCAAGUCGCGUGAGGGAUGAAGGUUCUAUGGAUCGUAAACCUCUUUUAUAAGGGAAUAAAGUGCGGGACGUGUCCCGUUUUGUAUGUACCUUAUGAAUAAGGAUCGGCUAACUCCGUGCCAGCAGCCGCGGUAAUACGGAGGAUCCGAUCGUUAUCCGGAUUUAUUGGGUUUAAAGGGUGCGUAGGCGGCCUUUUAAGUCAGCGGUGAAAGUCAGGGGCUUAACCAUAGAAUUGCUGUUGAUACUGGGAGGCUUGAGUGUGUGAGAGGAAGGCGGAAUGCGUGGUGUAGCGGUGAAAUGCUUAGAUAUCACGCAGAACCCCGAUGGCGAAGGCAGCCUGCCAGGCCAUGACUGACGCUGAUGCACGAAAGCGUGGGGAUCAAACAGGAUUAGAUACCCUGGUAGUC